rnacentral:rRNA from 1 species
CUACGUGCCAGCAGCCGCGGUAAUACGGAAGGUCCAGGCGUUAUCCGGAUUUAUUGGGUUUAAAGGGAGUGUAGGCGGUUUGUUAAGCGUGUUGUGAAAUUUAGGUGCUCAACAUUUAACUUGCAGCGCGAACUGUCAGACUUGAGUACACGCAACGUAUGCGGAAUUCAUGGUGUAGCGGUGAAAUGCUUAGAUAUCAUGAAGAACUCCGAUUGCGAAGGCAGCAUACGGGAGUGUAACUGACGCUUAAGCUCGAAGGUGCGGGUAUCGAACAGGAUUAGAUACCCUGGUAGUCCGCMCAGUAAACGAUGGAUGCCCGCUGUUAGCGCCUGGCGUUAGCGGCUAAGCGAAAGCAUUAAGCAUCCCACCUGGGGAGUACGCCGGCAACGGUGAAACUCAAAGGAAUUGACGGGGGCCCGCACAAGCGGAGGAACAUGUGGUUUAAUUCGAUGAUACGCGAGGAACCUUACCCGGGCUUGAAUUGCAGAGGAAUUAUUUAGAGAUA